rnacentral:tRNA from 1 species
CAGGGAGUAGUUUAAUUAAAAUUUUGGCUUUGGGAGCCGAGGAUGAGGGUUAGGCCCCCUUCUCUCUGA